AAAAGGACGGUUUUUGCUUGGGAGGGCAUUGGAUAUAUAAACCAAUAAUUACAGAAACCAUGAUACCAAGAACAUAUGGCCUUUCAUCAGCAGCACCAGCCGAUACAGACCUUGCUAUAGUUGACUUAGAUGUUGUGAGUCCAAAUCCAAAGGGAAACAAUGGAUCAUAGUGAGGGUCACCAACGUUCAUUGGAAGUUGAUUAACAGUUCUGAACCAUGUUCUUGGAAGUUUUCCAGUAAAUCCGUAGUCCCCAAAGAGAAGAUCAGUGAUACCUUGUCCUUCAGUUCCAGGUAACCAGGCUGCUACAAGCGCAUCAAUUGAAGGUAGAUAUGGUUCAAGAACGAGUGGUCGACCAGAUAUGA
rnacentral:misc_RNA from 1 species